AUCGCUUCUUCGGCUUAUUAGCUAAGAUCAAAGUGUAGUAUCUGUUCUUAUCCUAUUAACCUACGGUAUACACUCAAAUGAGUGUAAUAAAGGUUACCGUAAAACCUAU
rnacentral:snRNA from 1 species